GGGCCCACCGGCUUGAGGCUGCCUUUCCCGGCGUUCCCUCGUUUAUUGGCUCACUCUUCCUUUCAUCCAUCCAUCCUUUGCGCAACAAUAUUUGAUGGGAAGCCUGCCAAGAGGCAGGGAGAAAGACACAUGGGCAGGAGAAUACCACAUGGAGACACAGACACACGAGGGGAGGAUGCCUGCUGACCAUGGAGGCAGAAGUGGGACUGACGCAUCGAUCAGCUGAGGGAUGCCAAGCACUGCCAGCAAACACCAGAGGCUUGAUGGGGGCGAGUAUUCUCCUGUGCAGGUAUCAGAGGGAGCCUGGCCUUGCAGAUACCUUGAUUCCUGACUUCUGGCCUCUAAAAUGUCCAAUGUGAGUCAGGCAUCUCUCCUGGUGGCUGUCUUCCAUGUGGUGACUUAUGUAUCCAGGAUCCUUCUACUGUGUUUCUCCUCCAUUGCGAAGUCCUUCACUUCCAGCACCUGAGACAUUUUUUGGGUAUAUCUACAAGUGGCAUAUAUCACUUCUGCCCACAUUCACCUGGGUAGAACUCAAUCACAUUGUUUCACCUAACUGCAAGUGAGGCUGUGGAAUAUAGUCUCCCUAUGUGCCCAAGCAGAAGAAACAGGAUUGUGUGACUCUACAAUGUGUGAUUGCUCCUGGUGAAUCAAAAGGAUAAAGCUGCUGAUUCUGCAAUUUGAUAACCCAACCAUGCUGACCUCAAAGUGUAGUCAAUCCAUGAAGUUCCUCCCACCACAGCUCAUCCUGAACACUGCCCACCUGAGUCAUCAAGAAAGAUUUCACCUGAUUCUUGGCCACAAAGUUUCAAGGGAACCAGAGCUAAUGAAGACAGCAUGGAAGGGCACCGCCGAGACCUACCUGUGGGAGUCCACCUCACCCUCAAGAACAGCUACCAUUUUAACACAGAUGGAUAAACCCCAUGAAAGUGAACUUCCUAAAUGCAAAUUCUGAUCUUGAAGCCCCAGCUGGCACAUCUACUGGAGACCCUCCCAAGCAACAAGAUGUAGAUGCUUUAGAGAUAACAAACUAUACAAGUUGUCUUCCAUUCUUUCUCCUUCCUCUAUUUUCAACACGGAUAAAAUACAUAUAUAUUUAUCUUGCUGAGCUCAGUAGGAUUAUUUAGCUUUAUUUCCAUGGCUGCCUUUUCUUAAUGUAAUAGAAUUUCCAAUCGAGCUUAUUACUUCCUUCCGUCACAAGCCUGAGGUCCUUUCACACCCAUCCUGUCCUUGGCAAAGAUCUUUGGAAAGUAGCCUGGGACAUACCUAGUGGUAAGCCACCUGCUCUGGGUUGAGGGUGGAUCUAUUCUAGUCAGAGGCUUUGUGAUCUGGACAAAGGAAUUGAGUAUGUGGCUGUCAAACUGUCAGGCAAUACUAAAUUUGGCUGGCCAGCUGAAUUCUAGCAGAAAAUCAUGCAAAAUAAGGUUUAGCAAUUGGGGAAAAAUGGCCCACAGGAAAAACAAAGGGAUGAAAUUCCGUAGGACUACACGGCCAUAGAAUUCUAACUUGAGGGCUGCAACCAGCUAUGUGACCUUGUAGUACAAGGACCAGUCUUCAGAUACAAAAUAGAGUUUGGAGUUAAAGGGAUCUUUGAGAAGAAGCCAUUAUCCACCCCCUCCUCCCAAUUUUAUAUGCCCUAAGAAAAAGGUUUCUUUCAACUUAGAAAGGUAUGAUUCUUGAAGUGCACUUCCUCCGAGUUUUCCUGAGCCUCUCAAUCAAAAUGACUUGCACCUGCCCAUCCAUUCCCAUUGGCUUAUGCUCCUACCCUGCAGUAUUGGCUUCAUUAUGCCUCACCUUGUACACCUGUCUGAUUCCUCUCCUAGAUUAUCAGCACCUUGACAAUGGGCUCGUAUCUUGUGUAUCCCUGAAUUUCCAGGGACAAUGAUAGUGCCUGCCACAUAAUUGAUGGUCAAUAAAUUUUGGUUAAAUAGUAACAAGAAACUCCCAUUUAAAAAAUGUGUUAUCGUUAUCAUUCUCAAUCUGGAUGCUCUCCUCUAUACACAGUUUUAUUCAGUAACUCUCUUAAAAUUGUAAAGGUGAGAAAUUGAACACAGUUUCCCAGGUCUUUGAGCAGCACGAGAUACAGGGAGAAAAAAAAUGCUUUGUGCUUGAAUACUUUACUUCUGAUUGGAGAAAAUAAACACUGCACUGGAUUAUUUUUAAAGAUACAUCACAUUACGUUUGUGAUCAACUGAAAUGCUAAGAUAUUUGCAUGUGGAUUUCUGCCAAGCUGCUUUUCUCCCAUUCUUCAUGUGUGUGAUUGAUCUUGAAAUCAAAUGGUGGGACUUUAUAUAUUUUUUUGUUUUAACUCAAGGUAAAGUCUGACAAAAAUCACGUUAAAUUUGAUGCUGUCAGUGAAGACAUUAGCAAUCCUUCCUGGCUUAAGGUCACUGGCAAAUUUGAUAUACUUAUCUUUUGUGGGGUUUUUUUGUUGGUUUUUUUAAGACAGGGUCCCACUCUGUCACCCAAGUUAGAGUACAGUGGCUUGAAAAUGGCUCACUGAAGCCUCGACCUCCCAGGCUUAAGCAAUCCUCCCACCUCAGCCUCCUGAGUAGCUGGGACUACAGGCAUGCACCACAAUGUCUGGCUGAAUUUUUUUUUUUUUUUUUUUUUUUUGUAGAGAUGUGGUCUUCCUAUGGUUCCCAGGCUGGUCUUGAACUCCUGGGCUCAACCAAUCCUCCCACCUUGGCCUCCCAAAGUGCUGAGAUUAUAGGCAUAAGCCACAACAUGCAGCCGUCUUUUCCGUUUUUAUCCCACUCUUUGACAAUGUUGGAAGGAUUAGGACUAGCUCUAAUAAGAGUCACCCCCUUCAUAUUGGGUAAUCAACCAACAGCUAGAAAUGUACACUGAAAUACUACCAGACAUCCCUUAUUUUACCAUCUUAUCCACAAAGAUCUUACAGAUGACAUUUUAAAAACAUUGUCUAAAGCACAGAAAUACUUUUAAGCACAGUAGCCCCUGAAGCUUGCCAGCCAAAUAAUCUAUUAAAACUUAAAUGAAACAAGGCAAGUAUGGUGCAUGCGUAUGGUGGCUGUGGUACUGGUGGCAUGCUUUUUUAAAUUCUACAGUCUCCUCCAACCACCCUCUGCUUUUUAAGUAAGUCUAAUUUAGCAUAUGCCUUGGCAUUCAUAUUAGGCUGACUUUCCACGACUGGCAUCCC
rnacentral:lncRNA from 10 species